GGGCGGGACACGUGGUAUCCUGUCUGAAUAUGGGGGGACCAUCCUCCAAGGCUAAAUACUCCUGACUGACCGAUAGUGAACCAGUACCGUGAGGGAAAGGCGAAAAGAACCCCGGCGAGGGGAGUGAAAAAGAACCUGAAACCGUGUACGUACAAGCAGUGGGAGCCUCUUAAUGGGGUGACUGCGUACCUUUUGUAUAAUGGGUCAGCGACUUAUAUUCUGUAGCAAGGUUAACCGAAUAGGGGAGCCGAAGGGAAACCGAGUCUUAACUGGGCGUUAAGUUGCAGGGUAUAGACCCGAAACCCGGUGAUCUAGCCAUGGGCAGGUUGAAGGUUGGGUAACACUAACUGGAGGACCGAACCGACUAAUGUUGAAAAAUUAGCGGAUGACUUGUGGCUGGGGGUGAAAGGCCAAUCAAACCGGGAGAUAGCUGGUUCUCCCCGAAAGCUAUUUAGGUAGCGCCUCGUGAAUUCAUCUCCGGGGGUAGAGCACUGUUUCGGCAAGGGGGUCAUCCCGACUUACCAACCCGAUGCAAACUGCGAAUACCGGAGAAUGUUAUCACGGGAGACACACGGCGGGUGCUAACGUCCGUCGUGAAGAGGGAAACAACCCAGACCGCCAGCUAAGGUCCCAAAGUCAUGGUUAAGUGGGAAACGAUGUGGGAAGGCCCAGACAGCCAGGAUGUUGGCUUAGAAGCAGCCAUCAUUUAAAGAAAGCGUAAUAGCUCACUGGUCGAGUCGGCCUGCGCGGAAGAUGUAACGGGGCUAAACCAUGCACCGAAGCUGCGGCAGCGACACUAUGUGUUGUUGGGUAGGGGAGC
rnacentral:rRNA from 1 species